AAGGCCACCACCUGAUGUGCAUGUUGCUUCUUUUUUCGCCUCACCACGAAAAAACUUCCGCCGGGAGGACGCUGGGAGGAUUGAAUGAUUGACACCUCUUUCCUGAUUGGGGGGUGGUGGUGCAUGGCUGCUCUUGGGGAGGAUUUAUUUGUCUGGUUAAUUCCAAUAACGAACCACUCUCCUACCUACUAAACAGACCACCUUCUUUUAACCGUCGGACUUCCUUCUUAGAGGGACAGACAUUGAUUCAACCGAAACAAAACAUACCAAGGUCUGUGAUGCCAUUCCCUUACAGGUCCCGCGCGCCAGGCGCGCUACACUGAAGUGAUGCAUUGCAUUCCUGCUCCUGCUCCGCUGGGAGAGCCCUACCCCCUUCACCGUCUUCGUGAUUGGAAUAUGUGAUUGUCUCCUUCUCCUUGAACGACCAGUAUCCGCAAGGCGUAAGCUAGCGUCUUGUACUUGAUUGCGCCUAUGCCCCUCCGACAGUCUGUACGACGAUACUACUGAUAGAGUGAGGUC
rnacentral:rRNA from 1 species